rnacentral:rRNA from 1 species
AGCGAACGCUGGCGGCAGGCCUAACACAUGCAAGUCGAACGAACUCUUCGGAGUUAGUGGCGGACGGGUGAGUAACACGUGGGAACGUGCCUUUUGGUUCGGAAUAACUCAGGGAAACUUGUGCUAAUACCGCAUGUGCCCUUCCGGGGAAAGAUUUAUCGCCAUUAGAGCGGCCCGCGUCUGAUUAGCUAGUUGGUGAUGUAACGGCUCACCAAGGCGACGAUCAGUAGCUGGUCUGAGAGGAUGACCAGCCACACUGGGACUGAGACACGGCCCAGACUCCUACGGGAGGAAGCAGUGGGGAAUCUUGCGCAAUGGGCGAAAGCCUGACGCAGCCAUGCCGCGUGAAUGAUGAAGGCCUUAGGAUUGUAAAAUUCUUUCACCGGGGACGAUAAUGACGGUACCCGGAGAAGAAGCCCCGGCUAACUUCGUG